rnacentral:rRNA from 1 species
GAUAAACGCUGGCGGCGUGCAUAACACAUGCAAGUCGAACGAUGAAGAUUAAAAGAUUUCUUCGGAAUGAACUUAAUUGGAUUAGUGGCGGACGGGUGAGUAACGCGUGAGUAACCCGCCUUGUACAAGGGGAUAGCCGUUGGAAACGACGAAUAAUACCCUAUGACAUCAAAUAAUCGCAUGAUAAUUUGAUCAAAGAUUUAUCGGUAUAAGAUGGACUCGCGUCUGAUUAGCUAGUUGGUAGAGUAAAAGCCUACCAAGGCAACGAUCAGUAGCCGGCUUGAGAGAGUGUACGGCCACAUUGGGACUGAGACACGGCCCAGACUCCUACGGGAGGCAGCAGUGGGGAAUUUUGCACAAUGGGGGAAACCCUGAUGCAGCGACGCCGCGUGAUUUAGAAGGCCUUCGGGUUGUAAAAAUCUUUUGUAUGGGAAGAAAAUGACAGUACCAUACGAAUAAGGACCGGCUAAUUACGUG